AUGCCAAGAAGAGCAAUUGACCUGUAUAUGGAAAAGAGGCAAAAUUUAACAUCAGAAAUGGAAUCAGAAGGAGACCUCCAAGGGGCUUUGAGAUCAAGGAAUAACCAGUAGAGCCAUUUUAAACUCAAGCUUUCUCACUGCAUGCAGCAGAAGUAAGUAAAUUUCUCCUGGAUAUGAG
rnacentral:lncRNA from 1 species